ACGAUGCCCAAGGGCCGAAAGGCUUCUCCCAUCACUGCUGUCCCUGCAACCAGGCAGCCCUGGUCCGUGUUCUGAAGCAGCAAACUGAAACCCAAGGAGCAGCCUUCAUUUUCACCUGGGUUUAAAUCCUGACACAACCAUUCCCAGCUCCCAAGGUGCACCCCGAGGUGCUGGGAGCCCAGCUCAGCACUGCCCAUGGGCACUCAGCUCUCUCCUCCCCUCCCUGGGCUGAGCUUCAGCUCCUGCUCCCUUCUCCAAAGAGCAGAGGGAUCGUGUCACAUCUCACCCCGCAGCCGCAAUUCCACAGUGACUCAGUGCCUAAGUCUUGCUCCCUGGUGUCACAUAAUCCAGCCCAGCCACUGCUCCUCUUUUUUCCCACAUCUUAGGGAGGGGACAGUCAGGAAAAAAGAAAUUAAACAAUGCUGCAACAGGUUAAAAUCACAGAGGAAAGGCCCCACAAGUGGGAUGGUGGAACGCACCUGGAUUUGGCAACAACCCGUUGAUAAUGCAUCCAAAUCCUGAAAAAUAAUUAUCUUGCUUGCAUUUCUCCUCCAUGGGCUUCCUGGAAAAUUUAAUUAUUGUCUGAUAAGCAACAGAAAGAAACACAGAAGGAGAUGAGAAGACAGAACAACAACAAAUAUUUACCAUUUUAAAAAAUGCAUCAAGAGGGGUUUUUUCCCACUU